UCUCAUUUAGAGUAUCAGAAAAACUACCACGAGGUAAAUUAAAUGAUAAGCAAGUACUCUUUAAACCUGACUAAUGGCACUCUUGAGCCACCAUAGAAAUACUCUUAUGAUGCUUAUGAUGCGUGUGCGUGUGUGCGUGUGUGUGUGUGUGUGUGUGUGUGUGUGUGUGUGUGUGUGUGUGUGUGUGUGUGUGUGUGUGUGUGUGUGUGUGUGUGUGUGUGUGUGUGUGUGUGUGUGUGUGUGUGUGUGUGUGUGUGCGUGUCUCUCUCUUCUGGUGACACCUGUCUCUGUCUCACCUGCAGAGCCCUGAGACGGCGCAGAUGACCUUUGAGACGCUGAAGAACACGAUCGGUAAGUGAUGCUCAUAUUGUCUUUUGUUGUUUGUUGUUAUUUUGGUAGUUGAGUACAGAAGCCUUGAGAGGACAUGCUGGUGUUCUUGUGAUAAAGACUUAAAAUCAGCUGUUUUCUCCACAUGAAGUAGUUUUCACGGGUAAACCUGGAGGUUAUCUCGAGGUUACGACGGAAAGAAGUCGAGAAAGAAAACAGAAAUGACUCGUUAUCCUGAAAAUGAAAAUGUUUGGAUGUUUGUCCGCUUUGGGCUUCCUUAGUUUUUCCAUCAACACAUUUCUACACCUGACCUUAAAAAUGUUUGACGUCAGCUUGACUGGAUGAAGAUAAAUGUGUUUAAAAUCAAAGAUCCUAAAAACAUGAAGAUGAUCUUUGAGCUGAAUCAAAUAGAAUCCAGUUUUCAGACUCAUGAAGAAUUUAAAGAAUGAAAAUGUUCCUUUAGUGAGUUUGAAAUGUAACCGAAUGUUUAUCGAUGUGCGAGCUCGGCCGGUUGAAGUCGAUCGAGUCUCUGACUUGUGAACUUGUUUGUGUAGAGGAUCGGGGGAGCGUGGAGGAGGAGGAACGCAGGAGGAUGCAGCUGGUGGAGAAGUUUCAGACGGCUCCGUUUGAGGAGAUCGCCGCUCACUGUGGCGCCCGGACAUCGCUGCUUCAGUCCAAACUGGACGAGGUCGUCGAUCUGAUCAUGCGUCCGGUCACUUGCAGCCGCGCUCCACGCCGCUCUGUGAGAUGAAGUUCCCCGACCUCUGUGUUCAUUAGACGCUCAGCAGUUAUGUGUUCAGUAUCCAGGUAGGAGAGGAGACAAGGAGACAAGGAGGCAGGAGAGGGGGCAAGAAGGAAGGAUGCAGGAGACAAUGAGGCAGGAGAGGAGACAAGGAGACAAGAGAGGAGACAGGGAGACAAGGAGGAAGGAUGCAGGAGAGGAGACAAGAAGGUAGGAGAGGAGAUGAGGAGGCAGGAGAGGAGAUGAGGAGGCAAAAGAGGAGACAAGGAGGUAGGUUAAGAAAGAAAGGAAGGAGACUCACUUUAACUGCUUUUGAUGAUUUCAAAUAUUUUGUUUUGUUUUUGUCAGAAAAUAAUUUAUUGUUUCUGUGAUUUAAAUCAUUGAUUCAUUUUUGAUCCGUGUAUAAAAAAGAACGUUGUGAUGUUCCCUUGUUGUUGUGUUUGAUGUUUCUGUUUGAGACCGGAGUGAAAAAAUAAAUUAUUUGACUUUAA